UAAAAAGAUUGCCAUCAGUGACAUUU
rnacentral:piRNA from 1 species